CCAGCUCACAGCGUCCCAUAUCUGUGCCGGUUUCUUCCCACAUCCCAAUAACAUGGCAGUAGUAAGAUUUGGCUGUGUUAAAUUGCCCCUGAUGAGUGUGUGAAUGAUGACCUGCGAUGCACCGGUGUCUCACACUCAGCGUUCCCAGAUCCAUCACCACCCUGAGGAUGAAACACUCGCUGAAAUGAGACAAGCUGCUGCUGCUGAUGCCUCUGCUCAUUCCUGUGACGCUCGCUGAAGUUCUGGUGCUGCGUUUCCUAAGCUUCUUUUAGGUUACAUCAUAUCGCUGUUUUAUCAGAAGGAUGUGGUCGAGAUACAGCUGGUUAAAGAAAAAAAAACAACAAAAGCAACAAGGAACGUUCUUCAGAAAAUUCUGGCAAUUUAUGAGGGAGAUAGACUGCACCUCGGUGUGAGACCGACAAAUGAGAAGUUCCAGUAAAAAUGUUACAACACCUCCAUCUGGCCCCAUCUAAAAUUCAAGAACGGACAGCAGAGAGAGAGAGACGGGCAUGAAAAAAGCAUGGGCAGAGACUGAGGUGUGAAUGUGUUUCUUCAUGGGGCCUUGUGAUGGACAUCACAUCAUGAAUGAAUUCCCUCCUCACACCCAGUGCUCCUGGGAUUGGCUCAGCGUGACCCAGACCAGAAUUCCACUAGAG